CAUAGCGGUAUCCUGAGUAACGCGGGACACGAGGAAUCCUGCGCGAAUCUGCCGGGACCAUCCGGUAAGGCUAAAUACUCCCGUGAGACCGAUAGCGAACGAGUACUGUGAAGGAAAGGUGAAAAGAACCCCGAGCAGGGGAGUGAAAUAGUUCCUGAAACCAUACGCCUACAAGCGGUCGGAGCAUCGUAAGAUGUGACGGCGUGCCUUUUGCAUAAUGAUCCUACGAGUUACCGUCACUGGCGAGGUUGAGUGUCACGAGACACGUAGCCGCAGUGAAAGCGAGCCUGAAGAGGGCGCACAGUCAGUGGGGGUAGACGCGAAACCAAGUGAUCUACACUUGGCCAGGAUGAAGUCCCGGUAACACGGGAUGGAGGUCCGCACCAAUAAGCGUUGAAAAGCUUCUGGAUGAGCCGAGUGUAGGAGUGAAAGGCCAAUCAAACUUGGAGAUAGCUCGUACUCCCCGAAAGGCAUUUAGGUGCCGCGUCGGAUGGUCACCGUGAGAGGUAGAGCGACCGAUAGGACAAGAGGGCUUCACCGCCUAUCGAGUCCUGACGAACUCCGAAUGCUCACGGUCUGCAGUCCGGCAGUAAGGGGGCGGGUGCUAAGGUCCGUCCCCGAGAGGAGAAGAAUCCAGACCGCCGUCUAAGGUCCCGGAGUUCUGCCUGAGUUAGUCUAACGAAGUCUGGUCCCUAUGACAGCUAGGAUGUUGGCUUGGAAGCAGCCAUUCAUUCAAAGAGUGCGUAACAGCUCACUAGUCGAGGGUCCGGGCAUGGAUAAUAAUCGGGUAUAAGGCAGACACCGAAGGCGCGGGAUAGCAAUUAUAAAAGUAUCGGUAGGGGAGCAUACUCACAGCGUCGAAUGGUGUACGUAAGUUAUCCUGGAGCGGUGAGUAAAGCAAAUGUAGGAAUAAGUAACGAUAAGGAGGGUUAGAUUCCCUCCCGCUGUAAGACCAAGGUUUCCCGGGCAAUGCCAAUCAGCCCGGGGUCAGUCGGGUCCUAAGUCUAAGCCGAACGGCGAUGGCGAUGGCAGAGACGGUUAAUAUUCCGUCACUGCCGCAUGGGGCGACGUGGAGACGGAGCAGUGAAACCACCGCGGGGCGACGGAAGUCCCCGUUGAAGAGUGUAGGUGUUGAGGAUGGCAGGCAAAUCCACCAUCCGAGCUGAACUUGACAGUAUGGAGUCUUCUUCGGAAGAAUCCAAUAGUGUGGGUAAUCAUACUCCCGAGAAAAUCCGCUAAGCUUAACCCAUGCGGCACCCGUACCGCAAACGGACACACGUGGUCGGGUAGAACAUACUAAGGCGUUGAGAGAUUCAUGGUUAAGGAACUAGGCAAAUUGACCCUGUAACUUCGGGAUAAAGGGUCCUCGUGAUGAGCGAGGCGCAGAGAAUAGGUCCAGGCAACUGUUUAACAAAAACACAGGGCUGUGCAAACUCGAAAGAUGACGUAUACAGCCUGACACCUGCCCGGUGCCGGAAGGUUAAGAGGAGAUGUCACUCGCAAGAGGAAGCAUUGAAUUGAAGCCCCGGUAAACGGCGGCCGUAACUAUAACGGUCCUAAGGUAGCGAAAUUCCUUGUCGGGUAAGUUCCGACCUGCACGAAUGGUGUAAUGAUCCGGACGCUGUCUCAACCAUGAGCUCAGUGAAAUUGUAGUAUCGGUGAAGAUGCCGAUUACCCGCGAUGGGACGAAAAGACCCCGUGAACCUUUACUACAGCUUAGCAUUGACCUUGGUCAUCCGAUGUGUAGGAUAGGCCGGAGGCUUCGAAGCGGGAGCGCCAGCUUUCGUGGAGCCAUCCUUGAAAUACGGCCCUUUGGCUGUCUGAGGUCUAACGCGUGAUCGCGGACACUGCUUGGUGGGUAGUUUGACUGGGGUGGUCGCCUCCAAAAGCGUAACGGAGGCUUCCAAAGGUGCCCUCGGGUCGAUUGGUAACCGACCUCAAAGAGUGCAAUGGCAUAAGGGCGCUUGACUGGGAGGCAGACAUGCCGAGCAGGCAGGAAACUGGGGCAUAGUGAUCCGGCGGAUGUGUAUGGAA
rnacentral:rRNA from 1 species